AGGGUUUGAUCAUGGCUCAGGACGAACGCUGGCGGCGUGCUUAACACAUGCAAGUCGAGCGAGAAAGCUCCUUCGGGAGUGAGUACAGCGGCGAACGGGUGAGUAACACGUGGGUAACCUGCCCUGAGGAGCGGGACAACCCGAGGAAACUCGGGCUAAUACCGCAUAACUCGUCGCGUCUCAAGGCGCGACGGCAAAUGGUAGCUUCGGCCUCCGCCUCAGGAUGGGCCCGCGCCGCAUUAGCUUGUUGGUGGGGUAACGGCUCACCAAGGCGACGAUGCGUAGCUGGUCUGAGAGGACGAUCAGCCACACUGGGACUGAGACACGGCCCAGACUCCUACGGGAGGCAGCAGUGGGGAAUCUUGCGCAAUGGGCGAAAGCCUGACGCAGCAACGCCGCGUGAGGGAAGACGGCCUUCGGGUUGUAAACCUCUUUCAGGAGGGACGAAGCUUCCGGGGUUAAUAGCCCACGGGGUGACGGUACCUCCAGAAGAAGCCCCGGCUAACUACGUGCCAGCAGCCGCGGUAAUACGUAGGGGGCAAGCGUUGUCCGGAAUUAUUGGGCGUAAAGCGCGUGUAGGCGGCUUGGUAAGUCUGGUGUGAAACCUUGGGGCUCAACCCCAAGCCUGCACUGGAAACUGCCUCGCUUGAGUCCGGGAGGGGAGAGCGGAAUUCCUAGUGUAGCGGUGAAAUGCGCAGAUAUUAGGAAGAACACCGGUGGCGAAGGCGGCUCUCUGGAACGGUACUGACGCUGAGACGCGAAAGCGUGGGGAGCGAACAGGAUUAGAUACCCUGGUAGUCCACGCCGUAAACGAUGGGCACUAGAUGUGGGCGGUGUCGACUCCGUCCGU
rnacentral:rRNA from 1 species